GGCCUCGUAUCUCAGCUGGUAGAGCAUGCGCGUUCGAAGCGUGUGCGGCGUCCAUGCGUGGGUUUGAAUCCCACCGAGGCUG
rnacentral:tRNA from 1 species